rnacentral:rRNA from 1 species
AACGAACGCUGGCGGCAUGCCUAACACAUGCCAGUCGAACGAUCCCUUCGGGGAUAGUGGCGCACGGGUGCGUAACGCGUGGGAACCUGCCCUUAGGUUCGGAAUAACUCAGAGAAAUUUGAGCUAAUACCGGAUAAUGUCUUCGGACCAAAGAUUUAUCGCCUUUGGAUGGGCCCGCGUUGGAUUAGCUAGUUGGUGGGGUAAAGGCCUACCAAGGCGACGAGCCAUAGCUGGUCUGAGAGGAUGAUCAGCCACACUGGGACUGAGACACGGCCCAGACUCCUACGGGAGGCAGCAGUGGGGAAUAUUGGACAAUGGGCGAAAGCCUGAUCCAGCAAGGCCGCGUGAGUGAUGAAGGCCUUAGGGUUGUAAAGCUCUUUUAACCGGGAUGAUAAUGACAGUACCGGGAGAAUAAGCCCCGGCUAACUCCGUG